rnacentral:siRNA from 1 species
AGCCUAGUCGUGUUGUUUCUUAG